CUAUGCUAAUUCCACCAAUUAACCAAAACCCUUAACCAAUACUGAAUGACUCCAUAAACAUAUGGAAUACUAUAUGCUAGAACUAGUAAUAAGAAGAAGACCUUCUCCAAAAUAUAAGUGUGAGCCGAAAUGAACAAUUCACCGGCAUUUAACGCAACUGAACUAAUAGUAGUAACUAAAACAAGAAAACCCUACUACAUGCUGCGUCAACCUUACACUAGAAUAUUCCAGGAAAGAUUAAAAGAAAAGGAAGGAACUCGGCAAACCUAAUAACCCCGCCUGUUUACCAAAAACAUCGCCUCUUGCAAAAAUAUAAGAGGUCCAGCCUGCCCAGUGACAAAGUUAAACGGCCGCGGUACCCUAACCGUGCGAAGGUAGCGCAAUCACUUGUUCUUUAAAUGAGGACUAGUAUGAAUGGCAUCACGAGGGUUACACUGUCUCCCUUUUCCAAUCAAUGAAACUGACCUCCCCGUGAAGAGGCGGGGAUAAAACUAUAAGACGAGAAGACCCCAUGGAGCUUUAAACUCAGUAUCAACUAUCUAACUAUAUACCAUCAAAAUUUGAUAGCUCUGACCACUAGUUUUCGGUUGGGGUGACCGCGGAGMAAAACAAAACCUCCACGAUGAACGGACCAAUGUUCCUAAUCAUAGAGCCACAGCUCAAAGAAUCAAAAAAUUGACAUAAAUUGAUCCAAUUAAUUUUGAUCAACGAACCAAGUUACCCUGGGGAUAACAGCGCAAUCCACUUCAAAAGCUCCUAUCGACAAGUGGGUUUACGACCUCGAU
rnacentral:rRNA from 1 species